rnacentral:tRNA from 1 species
GUUUUGGUAGUUCAGCAGUAGAAUUCUCACCUUCCAUGUGACACACCUGGGUUCGAAUUCCUGGCCAAUGUA